UGCUUUAUUGCUCAGGAUGAAGAGCAUGAGACUCUUAAUCUCAGGGUUGUGGAUUUGAGCUCCACAUUGGGCAA